AGCGAACGCUGGCGGCAGGCCUAACACAUGCAAGUCGAACGAACUCUUCGGAGUUAGUGGCGGACGGGUGAGUAACACGUGGGAACGUGCCUUUUGGUUCGGAAUAACUCAGGGAAACUUGUGCUAAUACCGAAUGUGCCCUUCGGGGGAAAGAUUUAUCGCCAUUAGAGCGGCCCGCGUCUGAUUAGCUAGUUGGUGAGGUAACGGCUCGCCAAGGCGAGGAUCAGUAGCUGGUCUGAGAGGAUGACCAUCCACACUGGGGCUGAGACACGGCCCAGAAUCCGACGGGAGGGAGCAGUGGGGAAUCUUGCGCAAUGGGCGAAAGCGUGACACAGCCAUGCCGCGUGAAUGAUGAAGGUCUUAGGAUUGUAAAAUUCUUUCAGCGGGGACGAUAAUGAUGGUACCGGGAGAAGAAGCCCCGGCUAACUUCGUG
rnacentral:rRNA from 1 species